CCGGAGCUGGAGCGGUGCGGACCUGCGCGGGGUGGGCUGCGUGAGGGCGCGCUCUCCUCCCGAAGGCAGCGUCGCGAAUCAGCGCUCAUUCAUUCGUUUCGCGAACGCACGCCGCUGCCAGGGAGGAGGUCCCUGUCUAGCACUGCCCGUCUGUUUACUUUCGCGUCUAAACCUGGCAUGACCAAGGACCGAACAGGUGCCACGGACAGUUCGCCGGCGCUGCAGGGCUAGCUCUCCCAGCCCAUGGCUGGGCACGGUUUAGAGAGGAGGCAGGACUCCGGCAGGAUCGGAAAGGAAGGGAAGCGGUCCGCGCAUCUGUUUCCUGGGCUGCUGUGGAAUUUAAUCUGCUCUCCGGUCUCUCUGACGCCCAUCAUCACAGCCUGACAGGGGUGCCCUACAUGCAGAGCCUUGGAGCCUGGUCCAGAUCCCUGCCUUGCCUGACUCCUCUGCUGAGCCUGACUGGAGCCCAACUCGCUUGCACUAGCAGGGUUCCCUUUCUCUCCUCACAGAAAGUGCUCCUCGGAUGUUUCCAGGCCAGGGACACCAUUCCUGAAGGACCACUGCUCCUACUACUUAUGGCUUCCAUGCAGCCGUCAGCUCCACAGGACUUUGUGCCUCUAGGCUGUGCUGAGGGCCUGGCACUGGAUCCUCACCUCACUGGAUGCUAUGAGCAAGUUCUCAGCAGGGGGAUAUAUAGCAUGGUCAUUCAUGGAUUUUACAGGGCAUUUGACCCUCACUGUGUUUAA
rnacentral:lncRNA from 1 species